rnacentral:rRNA from 1 species
UACGAAGGGGGCUAGCGUUGCUCGGAAUCACUGGGCGUAAAGCGCACGUAGGCGGAUCUUUAAGUCAGGGGUGAAAUCCUGGAGCUCAACUCCAGAACUGCCUUUGAUACUGGGGAUCUCGAGUCCGGGAGAGGUAAGUGGAACUCCGAGUGUAGAGGUGAAAUUCGUAGAUAUUCGGAAGAACACCAGUGGCGAAGGCGGCUCACUGGCCCGGUACUGACGCUGAGGUGCGAAAGCGUGGGGAGCAAACAGG